rnacentral:rRNA from 1 species
GACGAACGCGGCGGCGUGCUUAACACAUGCAAGUCGAACGAAGAGCGAUGGAAGCUUGCUUCUAUCAAUCUUAGUGGCGAACGGGUGAGUAACGCGUAAUCAACCUGCCCUUCAGAGGGGGACAACAGUUGGAAACGACUGCUAAUACCGCAUACGAUCUAACCUCGGCAUCGAGGAUAGAUGAAAGGUGGCCUCUAUAUGUAAGCUAUCACUGAAGGAGGGGAUUGCGUCUGAUUAGCUAGUUGGAGGGGUAACGGCCCACCAAGGCGAUGAUCAGUAGCCGGUCUGAGAGGAUGAACGGCCACAUUGGGACUGAGACACGGCCCAGACUCCUACGGGAGGCAGCAGUGGGGAAUCUUCCGUAAUGGACGAAAGUCUGACGGAGCAACGCCGCGUGAGUGAUGACGGCCUUCGGGUUGUAAAGCUCUGUUAAUCGGGACGAAAGGCCUUCUUGCGAAUAGUGAGAAA